UCUCUCAGCUGUCUGCACUACCCCAGACCAUGUCAGGUGAGACGAGUGUGGGGGAGAAGAGGAGCAUCCACUCGCUGGAAGCUGGGUGAAGAAGUGAGAGUCAGCUCCCAAGAUAGUAUGAAUCAGGAUACAACUCAUCAGUGAACAAGCCAAGAGAAAGAUACAAUUCUCCAUCUCAUAUUGCUUCAAAUAUUCUUCUGGACUCAUUGCUGAGGACUCUUUGCAAAUGAUCAAAAUGUGAAAAUGCUUUUAAAAUGCUUCUUUAAAGGUAAAAGGAAUCUUGUUCACUGGUCUCUUUUUCCAGGCCCAGUUAGUUCUCCAAAACUAUUGCAUAAAUCUCAACCUAUUUAAACCUAGUUUCUUUUUCCCUCUUUGCUACACUUCUCACAAACACGUGUGCAAAAUAAAGCUCCUAGAGUUCUUUCUCAUACCUUCAGUUGGAGCUGAGGAGCUCAUCACACAGAGCUGGAGUCACAUUUUCUAGUUCUGAAUCAUACUGCUAGGUUUUACAGUAACAACUGUAGUAUCCUUUUCCCUCUUAUGGGAAAAAGUACAGGAUUCAAUCAUGUUGAAUUUAUCUCAUUUCCAAGAAUCUGAGUAGAUUUCAGCCUGUAGUUUCUGCUGUAGUAAGUAUCUCCAUAUCUGUUGCCAAAGCUUCAGCAUUUGCUUGCACCUUUCUCUUAAGCUGGAAAUGGAUCUUGAGCAUACAGCAUCACCUUAAAAUGUGUUUCUGAAGUGUAGGAGGAACUUUAAGUUCUGAAAAUGAACAAACCACGGACAAUAUCUUGCAGCCAAAAGAUGAUGAUAGAAUGAUGUAGUGACUGCGUCAUGAUGGGGUUUUUUUCUGGUUAAAGCUGCCAGUGUUCUCUCUUCUAGAGAUUUGGUAUGUGUUAAGUAGAGCAAAAACAUAAAGCUUUGGGAAAGUUUUAUAGAGGCUGGAAGUUUCUCUUAAGAAUUAAACACACAGAUUUUGCCUCAAAAUAAA